rnacentral:tRNA from 1 species
GCUGAAAUAGCUCAAUUGGUAGAGCAACUGAAUCGUAAUCAGUAGGUUGGGGGUUCGAUUCCUCUUUUCAGCA